rnacentral:lncRNA from 1 species
AAUAGUUCCCGUUUUUCUCUCAAUCCUUACACAGUGAUCAAAUUUCAUCCAGCUGCACAGUCCAGAUUAUGAAAUCAGGAAAACAAACAGCAUGGUAAACUAUCUUGUUAGUAAUGCCCACUCACCUAUCCCAUUGAAGAAGAGGAUGUAUAGAAUGACUAAAUUUGAUCAACAUGAACAUUUGAAUCCCCCCCAUUCUGUCAAGAUGAUUGGAGGACCCAAAAAGUUUGAAGAUAGAAAAUGUUUAACUCUGAGGAGAAUGUUAUCUUGUCUAUCUUUUUUUUUCUUUUCUGCAAUGUUUUGUUCUUCAUCUCUGACUCCACUUUCUAAAAAUUGCCACCAUUAUUUGAAUUGCAUGCCUCAUCCAAAAAUAUAAGGAUAGAAGAGAAAUAAAAAGAUAAAAAGAAUUACAGAUAUCUCUCAAGAUAUGUUCAUG